GUAUAAUUGUGCAAUAAUCGGCAACUCAGUGAAGAGGGUUUAGUCAGCCUUGCUGAGAACGGUUUGAAUGCAGAGUUUUAUUUAUAUGGGAUACUGUAUAAUUAAGACUUCUUAUUGAGAGUGAUUGAUAUAAGAUAGAGACAGAUGUCUCAAAUGCAAGAAUCGGUUGCCGGUCUAUAUGAGUAAAAUGUCAGUUCGAAGAGUCGGAGCGACAAUUGAUGAGGUUCACAGCAAUGGGGACCAAUGCGGCUUUUAAGUGCUAUAUGGGGACAUAUAGAUUACUGAAAGUAAUUCCAAAACAAGCUCUUGCCAAUGAAUCGGAGAAAUCCGAGUAUAAGACAAAACAGAACUGGACGAGUACCACAAGGCGAUUUUACAAAUCAAGAAUAAUUGGUAAUUCUAAUGCUGAAUGACUGAAUGACGUGGGAAAGUUGGGAGUAUCAAUCUCCUCAGAGCAUUGGGCGAAAGCCGGGGUGCACAGGUUAGGACGACGGUCCGAAGCUUCAGGUGUGUCUCCUUUGUGACAGAAUAUUACGUAGUAUAGAGUUGGGUAGGGCGAAGGUCCGCCGAUUAUUGUUUUUUUUU
rnacentral:ncRNA from 1 species